UACGUAGGGAGCGAGCGUUGUCCGGAAUUACUGGGUGUAAAGGGAGCGUAGGCGGGAUUGCAAGUUGGAUGUGAAAACUGCGGGCUCAACCCGGAGCGUGCAUUCAAAACUGCGAUUCUUGAGUGAAGUAGAGGCGAGCGGAAUUCCUAGUGUAGCGGUGAAAUGCGUAGAUAUUAGGAGGAACACCAGUGGCGAAGGCGGCUUGCUGGGCUUUUACUGACGCUGAGGCUCGAAAGUGUGGGGAGCAAACAGG
rnacentral:rRNA from 1 species